UACGGGGGGGGCAAGCGUUGUUCGGAAUUACUGGGCGUAAAGGGCUCGUAGGCGGCCAACUAAGUCAGACGUGAAAUCCCUCGGCUUAACCGGGGAACUGCGUCUGAUACUGGAUGGCUUGAGUUCGGGAGAGGGAUGUGGAAUUCCAGGUGUAGCGGUGAAAUGCGUAGAUAUCAGGAGGAACACCUGUGGUGUAGACAGCUUACUGGACCACUUCUGACGCUGAGACACGAAAGCGUGGGUAGCAAACAGG
rnacentral:rRNA from 1 species